UACGUAGGGGGCAAGCGUUGUCCGGAAUCAUUGGGCGUAAAGAGCGUGUAGGCGGCCAGAUAAGUCCGCUGUGAAAUCUCGAGGCUCAACUUCGAGCUGUCGGUGGAAACUGUCUGGCUAGAGUCCGGAAGAGGAGAAUGGAAUUCCUGGUGUAGCGGUGAAAUGCGUAGAUAUCGGGAGGAAUACCUAUGGCGAAAGCAGGCUACUGGACCGUCACUGACUCUGAUCUGCGAAAGCUAGGGGAGCAAACAGG
rnacentral:rRNA from 1 species